UCUGCUCCCCUUAACAUACCACACUACACACUUUCAUCCCCAUAUCCACCGGCCCUAUUUCAUCCUAUCACGACUGUCGUGCACUACCCUUCUACACCCUUUUAGGCCUCAUUUUUGCACUUAAUGGAGGUCUUAAUCUUUAUCAUUCAGAUCUCAGUCAUUAAGUCCGUUUAUUUUUUAGGUCUAAAUCUUAAUCAUUCAGAUCGUACCCAUAAGUGCGUAUUGUAUUUUUUAUGUUAAAAUUAUUUAAUGGGUCUAGAUUGAUCUGAAUGAUUAGGAUCUGUAGCAAAGUCUUAAUAUCAUUAAGAUGUAUAUGUAAGGAUUUGUAAAAAGAUGGCAGUUCACCAGUUUCAUCCAUUUACCACAGCCGCCAUCGGCCACCAUUAUCAACUACCACCGCCGCCGUCCAGCAUUAUCAACCACCACCUACCACCCAUAAUUCCACCAUUAUCAGCCACAAGUUUCACUGUUGCCAAUCACUAUAGCCGACCAUCACCACCGCUAGUUAGCAUUUGCAAUUAAUCAUCUCCACCAACCACCAUUAUCACAACAACUACCAAUCACUACUGACAAUUUACAAUCACCGGUCACCAUUAUAAAUCGCUAACUACCAUCAUCAUUCACCACUACCAUUAGCUAUCACUAUCAUCCACCACAUCAAUAAGCUGCCGCCACCAACUAUCGCCAUCAACCACUACUGCUAAGCAUCAUCACCACUAACUACUAUCCACAGCACCACCAUUGCAAACACCAUUCCAAUCGGGGCAUACUAACUAGUAACUACCACCCACAACACCACCAUUAGCCAACACCAUCCCAAUCGAGGCACACAACUACCACCACCACCACCACACCACACCACCAACCGAUGUAUAAUAUUUUUAAAAUAUUUUUAUGUAUUAGAUUAACUAGGUAGUUUAUUGAUUUUAUAUUUAUUAAUUAAGUAAAGACAAGUUUUAUAUUCAUAUCUUAAUACAACAUCUGAAUAUUCAGAAGUGUAUUAAUCUGACAUCUAAAUCUUAAUGCACACUUUAAUAUUUAGAUGUGUAUUUAGAUUCAGACAUCUUAAUCUUAAUAAAAAAUGAGGCCUUAACCUUUUCCCAACCAAUAGUUAGCUUCAGCUUCGCUACAACUCAUCUCAAUACUCAAUUAACACCACUUGUGAGUUCUAUCCCAGUUGGCACAUGCUGUACUAUCCUCUUUGCCAAUAAUAACUUAUUCUCUGCCCCUUUUCUUCAACCUGACCACCAAAGCAAUUUUCAACCUAAUACUCAAGCUAACUUCCAAUCCAUCAGCCAAACUAACAUCCAGCCAAUUACCUUCUCACCUGUGCCCACUGCCCACUAAUAAUCAGUUUAAAUCACCCAAGAUUAAGCUAACCUUCCCUGAUUUUGACUCUAAUAACCCGCGGGGAUGGAUAAGAAGGCGUGAAAGGUUCUUCAAGCUGUAUCAAGUGGCUACGGAAUCGUGAAUGGGCAUUGUAGCAGUCCAUAUCAAAGACAGAAAUGACCCUUGGUUUGAUGUGUAUGCGUUGGAACAAAGGGGGGCUGUUACUUGGGAACGCUUUGUUUGGAUGUUUGUAGAAGGUAGAAACCUUAGACCCAUGCAUGUUGUAGUGGAAUUUGACAGACUCCAACAAGUAUCCACAAUGGAGAGUUACUACGAAUUAAUUCGUUUUUUCGGUUCAGUUACGGUUCUUUUUUUAAACAAAUUCGGUGUUCGGUUAUGGGUUACCGGUUCUUUGGUACUUCGGUUUAACCGAACAGUUACUAUGUGAGGAUUCUGUUAAUACAUGUUGCAAGAAGUUUUCAUUCCCUUUUCUGUUAGUUUUGAGGAUUCUGUGAUAAUCUAUGGUUUUCUUUUCAAUUUUAUUAUUUUCCCAGUUAACUAGUUAAGGCUCUUAAUGAUGAAAAGUGAUGAAGUCCAUUGAUCCAUCUUGGUUCGUCUUAUGCAAGUUUCAGUUUUUACUGAUUAUAUACAACAACAACCCAGUGAAAUCCCACAACGUAGGGUCUGGGGAGGGUAGAGUGUACGCAGACCUGACUCCUACCAAGGUAGGACGGCUGUUUCCGAAAGACCCCCGGCUCAAUAAAAGCAUAAAAAGAAGUCAGAUACGGUUAGAUAAGGUUAAGAGAUUCAGAUAAGAGAUUUAAAGCGAUAUGGAAAUGAAAUAAUGCAAGCGACACAGAUAAUACAGGAUAAUCAGAGCACAGAAAAUAACCGAUAAUAGCAGAAAUCAGAGCAGAUGACAUAGGAUAACCAAAGCACAGGAAAUAACACAUAAUAACAGAUAAUAGCAGAAAUCGGAGCACAAGAAAUUAUAUUGCAGUAAUGUGACUACUAAUAAGAACGGAUAACGAGACUAUCUACUAGCCUUCUACCCUAAUUUGGGUCCUCCAAACCCUCCUAUCUAAGGUCAUGUCCUCGGUAAGCUGUAAUUGCGCCAUGUCGUGUCUAAUUACCUCUCCCCAAUACUUCUUCGGCCUAUCCCUACCUCGUCUGAAACCAUCCAUGGCCAACCUCUCACACCUCCGCACUGGGGCAUCUGUAUCUCUCCUCUUCACAUGCCCAAACCAUCUCAAUCUCGCUUCUCGCAUCUUGUCUUCCACCGAGGCCACCCCCACCUUAUCCCGAAUAUCCUCAUUCCUAAUCCUGUCACUCCUGGUGUGGCCACACAUCCAUCUCAACAUUCUCAUCUCGGCAACUUUCAUCUUUUGAACGUGAGAGAUCUUAACUGGCCAACACUCCGCCCCAUACAGCAUAGUCGGUCUAACCACCACUUUGUAGAAUUUGCCCUUAAGUUUUGGUGGCACCUUUUUGUCACAUAGCACUCCGGAAGCAAGCCUCCAUUUCAUCCACCCUGCCCCAAUACGAUGUGUGACAUCAUCGUCAAUCUCCCCGCUGCCUUGCACAAUAGACCCAAGGUACUUGAAACUACUUUUCUUCUGGAUGGCCUGGGUACCAAGCCUUACUUCCAAGUCAGCCUCAUGAGUUGCUUCACUGAACUUACACUCCAAGUACUCUGUCUUGGUCCUACUCAGCGUAAACCCUUUAGACUCCAGAGUAUGUCUCCAAUACUCCAGCUUAGCGUUAACUCCGCUACGAGUCUCGUCAAUCAGGACUAUGUCGUCCGCGAAAAGCAUACACCAUGGCACCUCACCUUGAAUUUGCCGUGUCAAUCCAUCCAUCACCAAGGCAAAUAAAAACGGACUAAGAGCUGAUCCUUGAUGCAACCCCAUCACAACUGGAAAGUGCUCUGAGUCUCCUCCUACUGUCCUCACCCUAGUUUUGGCUCCCUCAUACAUGUCCUUGAUCACCCUAAUGUAUGCCACAGGUACACUUUUAGCCUCCAAGCAUUUCCAUAGGAUCUGUCUUGGAACUUUGUCAUAAGCCUUUUCUAGGUCGAUGAAUGCCAUGUGUAAGUCCCUCUUCCUCUCCCUAUACUGCUCCACCAACCUUCUCAUAAGAUGGAUGGCUUCUGUAGUUGAACGUCCAGGCAUAAAUCCGAACUGGUUUUCUGAAAUAGACACACCUCUCCUCACCCUCAUCUCCACCACCCUUUCCCACACUUUCAUAGUAUGGCUUAGCAGCUUGAUACCUCUAUAGUUGUUGCAACUCUGGAUAUCUCCCUUAUUCUUGUAUAGAGGGAUCAUUACACUCGCCCUCCAUUCUUCGGGCAUCAAUGCCGUCUUAAAGAUGACAUUAAACAACCUAGUCAGCCACUCCAAACCUUCUGGGUCCGCGCUCUUCCAAAAUUCCCCCGGAAUCUCAUCAGGUCCGGUUGCUCUUCCCCUGCGCAUCCUACGAACAACACCCUUAACCUCGUCAACCUUAAUACUCCUGCAAUAGCCAAAGUCGCGACGCCUUUCUGUAUGUUCGAAAUCACCCAACACAAUGUCUCUGUCCCCUUCUUCAUUCAAGAGUUUGGAGAAGUAUAACUGCCAUCUCCGUCUAAUGACAGUUUCCUCUAGCAAUACUUUGCCAUGCUCGUCCUUGAUGCAUUUUACUGGAUCCACAUCACGUGCCUUUCUCUCCCUUGCCUUGGCUAGCCUGAACAAUUUCUGUUCCCCUCCUUUCUCUUCUAGGUCAGCAUACAUGCGUUCAAAAGCUGCCGUUUUUGCCGUCGAAACCGCCAACUUCGCCUCCUUCCUCGCCAUCUUAUAAAGUUCUGUAUUCGUCCACUUCUCCACCUCAUCCUUGCUUUCUAUCAACUUCGCAUACGCCACCUUCUUUGCUUCCACCUUCCCUUGAACUUCUCCAUUCCACCACCAGUCCCCUCGAUGCUGACCACGACUACCUGUCGAGACCCCCAACACUUCCCUUGCUACCACCCUAAUGCAAUUAGCCGUCUUAUCCCACAUACUGGUCGCAUCCCCACUACUAUCCCAGGCCCCCAUAUCCUUCAAUUUCUCUCCCAUCUCCAGGGCACUAAUAGUGGUCAAACUCCCCCAUCUGAUCCUAGGUCGGUCCUCGACGACCCUCUUCUUCCUCGUCAUCUUGAUCGCUAAAUCCAUCACCAAGAGCUUAUGUCGGGUUGUAAGAUAUUCGCUCGGGAUGACCUUACAAUCCUUGCACAGACCUUUAUCAUCCUUCCUAAGGAGUAAAAAGUCAAUUUGAGUCUUAGCCACCGAACUACGGAAGGUUACCAAGUGUUUCUCCUUCUUUGGGAAACUCGAAUUGGCUAUCACCAAUCCAAAAGCUCUUGCAAAAUCCAAAAGUGAGACUCCUCCUCCAUUCCUGUCCCCGAAGCCAAAGCCUCCAUGCACAUCAUCAUAACCUCCCGAAAUAGGUCCGAUGUGUCCAUUGAAAUCACCUCCCACGAAUAGCUUCUCAGUAGGCGGUAUGCCUCCCACUAAUUCGUCCAAAUCCUCCCAAAAGCACCUCUUCUCCUCGUCGCCUAAGCCCGCUUGCGGCGCAUAUACACUAAUAAUGUUCAAAGUGAGUCCUUCAACGACCACCUUAAUCGACAUCAUCCUAUCAGUGACUCUCCUAACCUCUACCACCUGAUCCCUUAAUUCACUAUCUACUAAAAUGCCCACCCCAUUUCUAUACUUCGACCUACCAGAGAACCACAACUUAUACCCGUCUACCUCCUUAGCUUUAGGACCUACCCAUUUGGUCUCUUGGAUACAAGCUAUAUUAAUCUUCCUCUUCUGAAGAAUCUUAAUUAGCUCUAUGGACUUCCCCAUUAACGUUCCAAUGUUCCAAGAUCCUACUCUCAACCUAGACGCUCCUUUAACCCACUUACCCCUCCUAACCCUCGCCCCCGUCCCUGAACGAGAACAUGACCCUAGUCUACCAUCACUAAGUAAAGCCACGAAAAUGAGUAUGAACUAAUAAACUAUUCAAAAGUCUAAAGUUAGCAAAAAAUGUAACUACAAGUGUAUGGACAAAUAAUGAAUAUGGCAACCGGAGGUACCAACUCCAGUUGAAAUGAACCUGAUCGCCGCAGGAAAACACUGUUCAACGUCCGAGUACUGUUCACUGCCGGAGUACUGUUCACUGCUCACUGCCGGAAUUAUUUUAACAGAGUCCUGAAACAGGAGCAGAGAAGAGGGGGAACAAGAAAAGAAAAAGAAAAAAGAAAAAAGGAGAGAGAGAGGGCUGGCCGGAAAAUGGUGCCGGGAAAAGUCUCCGGCGAUGACGCAGCUGUGUUCUAGCAGCGCCAAGAGCAGAUAAAAAAGGGGAAAUGGAGAAGAAGAAGAGAAGAAGAAGAAAAGGAAAGAGAGAAAGAGAAAAAAAAGUAGAUCUGGCCGGAAAAGAGGUCGACGUUACCUGAUCGCCGGAGUUACCUGGUCGCCGGACGCGGUCUGAUCGCCGGAUGUGGUGGCAGGUGGGGUGGGGGGAGGGAGAUGUUACCGUUGAUGGUGGAGGAGAGAGAAGAGAGAAGAGAAGAGAGAGGGAGAUGUUACCGUUGAUGAUUAUAUAGUAUCUUAUUAUUCCAUUACCACCUCCUUGUUGUGCUCUUAUGUAUAAUUAAUUUACCACAAGAAAGAAUGGCUUAACAGAUCGCUCUGCUUGUUUGUGUGGUAAAACUGUCAUUUCAUUUCUGCAUUUUCUUGAUUUUACUAAGUACCCUUUUGUUUAUAACUCAUCUCAAGUUAAGAAAGAAUUGUCUUCUUUUGUUUGGUUGCUUAAUUGAUCAAUGUUGGUGGUUCUUUUAAUGCAAGUUUCAGUUUUUACUCAUGUGGGGUUGAUAAUUUAUAACUUACCACAAGAAAGAAUACCCUUUUGCUUAAAAUCAUAAUAAGUUAAGAAAGAAUUGUUUUCUUUGUUUAGUUUCUAUGUGCAGUUAACCAUAUGCCCAGCCGUUGUGAAUUUCGAUGAAUUGAAAUAGCCCAUUUUGAAUUAAAAAAACAUAAAAUAGCUCUUUUUAAAUUAAAAAGAAAGUCUAUUUUACAAGCAAAAAAAGCCCAUUUCAGGCCCAUGCCGAAAAAACCGAAUUAGAAAAACCGAACCGAAGAACCGAACGCCCACCCCUAAUUUUUUGGGCCACUUGUGCAAAUUUUUAUCAGUUUUUUUGAUGAAAUCCUUGUUCAUAGAAAGUAAUUGGAGGAACAUUUAGUGCAUUUACGGGCAGAGUUUCGAUUGCUGAUGGUUCACAAAUUGUUUGCCAAGCUUUCUUGUGCAGUUUUGCCCAGAAAGAAGUUGAGUAUUCGGGCCAUGUUAUCUCAGGCGAUGGGGUUCUUGGAACUUACCGGUUACUAUAGGCGUUUUAUUAAAAAUUACGCCUUAAUCAGUAAACCCUUGACAAGAAGGGGACUUUGCAUGGAAUGAAGCAGUUUCUCAAGCUUUUGAGGAACUAAAACAAGCCAUGGUAAGAGCUCCAGUGCUUGUGGUGCCAGAUUUUACAAUUCCUUUCAUUGUUGAGGUGGCUGCUAGUGGAAUUGGGGUUGGUGUCGUGCUGAUGCAAUAGGCCCACAGCUUUUAUUAGUCAAGCUCUUAGCCCUAAGAAUUGGGCCUAUCCGCUUGUGAAAAGUAACUAUUGCCUUCUCUUAGCAGUUGAAAUAUGGCGGUGACCUUUAAUCAAGUCAUCUUGCAAUUCAAACAGAUCAUUUUAACUUAAAGUUUUUGGGGGAACAAAGGUUUACCGCCUCUUUAUAACACAAAGGCAUUACAAAAUUGAUGGAUCUUAGUUAUGAGAUUUAUUACAGGAACGGAGAAGAAAACAUAGUGGCUGAUGCUUUGUCUCGGAAAAUGGAGGCAGAUAAGGCUAAAGAGCAAAAAAGCUAAAUGAUUAGGUCUAACAUUGAUACAACCAUAAUGGGCUUUGGAAGUGAUGGACGGUUAUUUGGAUGACCCGGAGGCCCAAGAUCUCAUUGCCUGACUUAGCAUUGACCAAAUGCAAAUCUUGGUAUCUCUCUUCAGAAUCGAUUACUUCGUUUUAAGGGUUGAGCUUGGAUUGGUUCUACAGGAGAACUCAAAAACGAAGUGGUGGGGGACUUGCAUACUUCAAUUUGGGGUGGCAUUUAGGUAUUCAUGCCACUUAUCAGAGGGUUAAGUCCAUUUUUUAUUUGGCCUAAUAUGAUCAAUUAUGUGGAGGUAGUAAAGGGCUGUGAAAAUUGUCAAAGAAAGAAAGAUGAAAGUGUGGAUCAAUUGUUGAAGGAAAGACAAAUAAUCAACAAACAAUUGAAAGGGAACAUGGUCAAAGCUCAGAAUCGCAUGAAACAAUAUGCGGACAGCAAAAGGAGCGAGCGAACCUUUGAAGUCGGGGACGUGAUAUUCAUUAAAUUAUAGCUAUAUCACCAAACUUUUGUGGCGGUGAGACUGAAUCUGAAACUGACUUCCAUGUUUUUUGGGCCUUACCCAGUAGUGAAGAAGCUUGGAGCAGUUGCGUAUCAACUCCAAUUGCCGCCAGGAACACGAAUUCACCCUGUUUUCCAUGUGUCCCAACUGAAGAAAAACUAGGGGCGAAAAUCUGAAAGAUUUUCUGGUAAAAGAAACACCCUUGACCACUAAUGAUGGAUAACUCAUAGUAGAACCCAUGGCUAUGCUUGAUCGACCUGUGGUGAAAAGGAGGAACAAGGCGGUGGCCCAAGUUCUGGUCCAAUGGGCUAAUUUACCCACUGAAGAGGCUAUAUGGGAAGAUCAAUCCUUUCUCACUUCGCAAUUUCCAUAUUACGAACCUUGAAUAUCAAGCUUCUUUGAAGGGAAAAAGAAUGUGGCGAAAUGAGAAUAGGGAUUUUGACUAAGGUCGCAUUUGUUUUCAUUAAGAUUAAGACGUCCGAAUCUGAAUACACAUAUGAAUGGUUAAGAUGUUGUUUCUAGAUUUGAACAUUGAAUGACUAAGCAUAAUCUAUUUAUUGUUAGACACUAUAAAUAUUUAUUUCAAAUAAAAAGUAAUUAAUGCAGAAAAUAAAGAUGAAUUGUUUAGCUAUUUCCUACUUUUGGUGUAGACUGGAGAUGAUAGGUCAAACAAUAUAAUCUAGUGGAAAUAGUAAGGCAAUGUAAAUUGUAACACUUUUGAAGGAGGGCUACAUAUUUGGAUAGUUAUACCCGUGGAUUUAUAGAUUAACUGUUACCAUUCUCAAAAAAAAAAAAGUAAUUAAAUAUUAAAAAAAAUAUAAAUUUAAUAACAUUAAAUUAUUAUUUGAUAAAAAAAAUGUUCACCAGUGAUGGUGGUGAUAGUUGGUGUUGUGUCUAGUAAUGGUGGUGGUAAUAGGUGUGAUGGUAAAGGUGGUCGGUGUUGUAGUGACUGAUGCGAUGGUGGUGGUUGGGCAGUAGUGGUGGAGUUGGUUGAUGUUAGUAGUUGGCGUGGUGGUGGCUGAAGAAUAUGUGGUGGUUGACGAUGUGUAUGGUGGUAGUUGGCGGCAAUAUUAGUUGUGAUGGUGGAGGUGGUUGGUAGUAGGGAUUAGCCGCAGUGGUGGUAGAGGCUGAUAGUGGUGACGGCGGCGAUGGUGGUGGCGGUAGAUACAAUAAUAAUGAUUGAGGGGUUAGGUGUGGUAACGACUGACAGUGUGGUUGCCAGUAGUGGUUGUGAUGGCAGAGGUGGUUGGCGACGGUAGCGGCGGUUGUGAUGGAAGAGGUGGUGCCUGGUGACCGUGGAUAGCGGGGCGGUGAAAGUUAUUCACACAAAAAUACCUCUUAAUGAUAUUAAGACUUUGUUCAAGAUCUUAAUGAUUAAGACCUAUUCAAGCAUUCACUUUUGGUGUUAAUAAUAUACUGUUAAUUACCCAAAAAAAAAAGGAC